GCCCGAGCAUCUACAGAACACUCGAGCCACAAGUGUGGCUCCCCACAAGAGCUUCAAGACUGCUUCCCAUUGGCGAAACCCUCUCAAUAGCAACCAAUCAUCCAUAGUCUUGUUCGGUGAUACAAAUGGUGGCCACACCCCUUCACCAAUUAGAGAAGAGUGUUACUUGCAAUUGGUUGAGGAGACCAAACCUGAGGGCGAAUGCUCCCAGCUGGAGAAAAAGGGAAGCUUGGUAGGGGGAGGUUUUCUUUGGAGAGCGGCUGAAAGCCUACAGUUCCUGAGCUGUGCUCUUUGAGCUUUGGAGAUAUAUUCAGAAUAAGUUCAAUGGUGGUGAUGGAAAAUGUGGGACAACAGAAGCUUUAUGAGAUGGAGUCAUGUUGUCAAAACAUAACCAAGGUGAAAAAUUAGAGCUGCUGUAGAGAAACGACUAGAAACCCUACUUCUCAUCUUGCCUAAAGCUCACCUGAGGAUAUUGUUAAUCAUCUGACAACACGUUUCCUUCGACUGCCUUAUUCAUUCCCACAUCCAAUGGGUUACUGAGUCCUGCUAAGUUUACAGGAGAAAUCUCACUCAUAUCUGCGCCAUUCUUUCCAAAUACACAGUUCUUGUCUUCGUUCAGGCCUUCUAUCAGUUUGGACUAUUGCAACCACCUUCUGGUUUGGUUGCUGGACACUAUCACUCACUCCACCCCAUUUCAUCCUCAACAUUGGUAUCAGAUCUGUCUUCCUAAAAGAAUAUAUUACCAUCCCUGCCUCCACUUUAUUUCCCCACUGACUGUAAAAUAAAUCAUCUUGGCAUGAUGUAAA